CAAGAGCGUAUGUAGAAGUUGUUGCAGUUAAAAAGCUCGUAGUUGAACCUUGGGUUUGGUUGGCCGGUCCGCUUUUUUGCGAGUACUGGAUUCAACCGAGCCUUUCCUUCUGGCUAACCAGUCGUUUCGGCGGCUGGCGAACCAGGAUUUUUACUUUGAGAAAAUUAGAGUGUUCAAAGCAGGCAUUAGCUUGAAUAUAUUAGCAUGGAAUAAUAGAAUAGGACGUUAUGGUUCUAUUUUGUUGGUUUCUAGGACCAUCGUAAUGAUUAAUAGGGACGGUCGGGGGCAUCAGUAUUCAGUUGUCAGAGGUGAAAUUCUUGGAUUUACUGAAGACUAACUACUGCGAAAGCAUUUGCCAAGGACGUUUUCAUUAA
rnacentral:rRNA from 1 species